rnacentral:rRNA from 1 species
AACGUAGGAGGCAAGCGUUAUCCGGAUUUACUGGGCGUAAAGCGCGUGUAGGCGGUUUGGUAAGUUGGAUGUGAAAUCUCCCGGCUUAACUGGGAGGGGUCGUUCAAUACUGCCAGACUUGAGGGCGGAAGAGGGGAGUGGAAUUUCCGGUGUAGUGGUGAAAUGCGUAGAUAUCGGAAGGAACACCAGUGGCGAAGGCGGCUCCCUGGUCCGUGCCUGACGCUAAGACGCGAAAGCUAGGGUAGCAAAUGGGAUUAGAUACCCGCGUA